ensembl:snRNA U6 U6 spliceosomal RNA
GCGCUUGCUUUGGCAGCACACAUAUUAAAACUGGAAUGAUACAGAGAAGAUUAGCACGGCCCCUGCACAAGGAUGACACGCAAAUUCGUGAAGCGUUCCGUAUUUUU